UACGGAGGGUGCAAGCGUUAUCCGGAAUCACUGGGUUUAAAGGGUGCGUAGGCGGUCAGGUAAGUCAGUUGUGAAAUACCCCGGCUUAACCGGAGGAACUGCGAUUGAUACUGUUUGACUUGAAUCAGGUUGAGGUAGGCGGAAUGUGGCAUGUAGCGGUGAAAUGCUUAGAUAUGCCAUAGAACACCGAUGGCGAAGGCAGCCCCCUGGGCCAGCACUGACGCUCAUGCACGAAAGCGUGGGGAGCAAACAGG
rnacentral:rRNA from 1 species